CAAUAGCGUAUAUUUAAGUUGUUGCAGUUAAAAAGCUCGUAGUUGGAUUUCGGAUGGGACUUGCCGGUCCGUCGUUUCGAUGUGCACUGGCCAGUCCUAUCUUGUUGUCGGGGACUAGCUCCUGGGCUUCACUGUCCGGGACUAGGAGCUGACGAGGUUACUUUGAGUAAAUUAGAGUGUUCAAAGCAAGCCUACGCUCUGAAUACAUUAGCAUGGAAUAACACGAUAGGACUCUGGCUUAUCUUGUUGGUCUGUGAGACCAGAGUAAUGAUUAAGAGGGACAGUCGGGGGCAUUCGUAUUUCAUUGUCAGAGGUGAAAUUCUUGGAUUUAUGAAAGACGAACUUCUGCGAAAGCGUUUGCCCAGGAUGUUUUCAUUGA
rnacentral:rRNA from 1 species